rnacentral:rRNA from 1 species
GGCAGCACGAUGUAGCAAUACAUUGGUGGCGACCGGCGCACGUGUGAGUAACGCGUAUGCAACCUACCUAUCAGAGGGGAAUAACCCGGCGAAAGUCGGACUAAUACCGCAUAAAACAGGGGUUCCACAUGGAAAUAUUUGUUAAAGAAUUAUCGCUGAUAGAUGGGCAUGCGUUCCAUUAGAUAGUUGGUGAGGUAACGGCUCACCAAGUCCACGAUGGAUAGGGGUUCUGAGAGGAAGGUCCCCCACACUGGUACUGAGACACGGACCAGACUCCUACGGGAGGCAGCAGUGAGGAAUAUUGGUCAAUGGGCGAGAGCCUGAACCAGCCAAGUCGCGUGAAGGAUGAAGGAUCUAUGGUUUGUAAACUUCUUUUAUAUGGGAAUAAAGUGAGGAACGUGUUCCUUUUUGUAUGUACCAUAUGAAUAAGCAUCGGCUAACUCCGUGCCAGCAGCCGCGGUAAUACGGAGGAUGCGAGCGUUAUCCGGAUUUAUUGGGUUUAAAGGGUGCGUAGGUGGUUAAUUAAGUCAGCGGUGAAAGUUUGUGGCUCAACCAUAAAAUUGCCGUUGAAACUGGUUGACUUGAGUAUAUUUGAGGUAGGCGGAAUGCGUGGUGUAGCGGUGAAAUGCAUAGAUAUCACGCAGAACUCCGAUUGCGAAGGCAGCUUACUAAACUAUAACUGACACUGAAGCACGAAAGCGUGGGGAUCAAACAGGAUUAGAUACCCUGGUAGUCCACGCAGUAAACGAUGAUUACUAGCUGUUUGCGAUACACAGUAAGCGGCACAGCGAAAGCGUUAAGUAAUCCACCUGGGGAGUACGCCGGCAACGGUGAAACUCA